rnacentral:piRNA from 1 species
UAGCAUUUGAUAGGCAGAAAAAGAAUUGCUA